AUUUACGAACCAAACUUACCUGCCAAUGAAUGGAGGUUGGGUCGCGUCGUACAGCUCCAUCCGGGUAAAGAUAACAUUACUCGUGUGAUAACAGUCAAAACAUCAAAAGGCUUACUUACAAGACCUGCUGUCAAAAUUUGUCCUCUUCCAAUUGAACAAAACAACUAAUUUAACUACACAAUUUUUUAUUACACACAUUAUCUUAUUAUCUUAAUUAUUUUCUUAAAUGUUUAUUAUUACUCACCUAUCUCAAAACUUAUACGUAUCUAUUAUCUUAUUAUUAAUCUAUUAACUAAAAAUCUUAUAAUGAUGACAUAUGAAUCUGCAUAGGCCCUCGAUCUUAAAUCUUAAAUUAUCAAACUGUAUCUUAUGAAAUCCCUGGGUGAUUUCAAGUGGGGGGAUAUGAACAGGCUUUGGGAUACUUCCUUUCCCAUCCUUUUCCCUCCCUAUUCUACAUAAUCAUAAAGCACCGAACGCAACCAUAACUGCGCAACGAACGCCAUCUAUUGAACUCAUAGACAAAACUCCAGUUUCAAACUCAGCAAUGGCCGGCCGGCAUCGAUAACUGCGCGCGCGGUGUAAAAAAAUCAAGUUAAACCUGUGAAUACGACUAAAAGUGCUCUGGUGUUGUGAUCCCUGUGUUCCUGGCAUCCUCCGUGUACAGACAUCGGCAACAAAUAGCCUGAGAACAACGUCAGGUGUCGGCCGCGGGACUCGUGUGACGAGUGGGAGCGCCAAGGCCUCGCGGUGAGAGGUCGCGCCGACCUCGCGCUCGCCUCGCAGGGUGCUCCGGAGCGCUGUCAUACAGCGUAUGCAAACAGUGGUGCCUCACCACCUGUGCGGACUGCGCCCGCGCCGCCCACACUCCCGCGCGCGUGUGUGCGUGCGCUCUACCCGCCGAACUACACCUAGAUGGCAAGUACGAGUAUCUACUGUAUAGAAGCUAGGUGCCCCGGCGAGAUAUUAUGAUACCUACAUAAACACAGGUUUGUAAACAGCAAAGUUAGGUAAGUACUAAAGUUCGGUAAGUAGCUACUGCACUUCUACGAAUUCCUCGCAUAAUACUGUACAUGUUAUUGUACAUACCUCAUUAUUUAAUUAUAUUGUACCAAUAGGUUAACUUAUCAAGAACGCACAGGUGCCUGCAGAUUCGACGCAACCUGUUGGUUAAAAAUAAGCAGGACACGUUGUGCCACAGCUGAGAUUUUAUCCCGCUCCCGCUGCCGG